CAGCAGCAGCCGCGGGAAUACAGAGGGUGCGAGCGUUAAUCGGAUUUACUGGGCGUAAAGCGUGCGUAGGCGGCUUCUUAAGUCGGAUGUGAAAUCCCUGAGCUUAACUUAGGAAUUGCAUUCGAUACUGGGAAGCUAGAGUAUGGGAGAGGAUGGUAGAAUUCCAGGUGUAGCGGUGAAAUGCGUAGAGAUCUGGAGGAAUACCGAUGGCGAAGGCAGCCAUCUGGCCUAAUACUGACGCUGAGGUACGAAAGCAUUGGGAGCAAACAGGAUUAGAUACCCCCGUAGUCCCUGUCUCUUAUAC
rnacentral:rRNA from 1 species